UUCUGCUUGUCAUCGUGCUCUAGAAAUCACGUUGCAGCCGAGUUGUUUUGAAUCUUUGGUUUAUUCCUCUGAUUGUUACAAAAUUAUUCAGUUAUAGUAUUUAUAUAGGUGGUGGUAUAUAUUUGUGUUUACGUGAAGGCGUCUGCUCGCUCCAAGAGAUUCCUCGCCAAGAAAAAAGUUAAUGGAUGGCGUAACUUUUGCGAGUCUCUUGCUCCCCGGUCUCCUGCUUCUUUGGUGUGGAAACGUAUUAAAUCAUUCAGAAGGUGCGAUGAAGUCGUCCCCUACAAAUGCGCUCCAAGUGGAAUGUGUGGAACCUCCACUCCAAUUACGUAGACAGUAUCUCUCGGAUAGGUAAUACUUAAUCUAGGGAUAGUGAAGAACUCGCAGGGUGCUGAUAAGGAGCUUAAUAGCUUAGUGGAAAAAAACUGGAAGGAUUGGCUUCAACUCUAUACCGAUGCCUCUAAAUUAUCAGAUACAAGUCACGUAGGAGCUGCUGUUUGGAUUCCUAAAUUUAAUAUCAUCCUAAACUAUAAAUGCCCUGCUAGCUGCUCCAUUUUCACAGGAAGUUCUUUAUAGAUGCCAAAAGAGUGGUCUUGAAAUUGUCCUGGCUUGGAUUCCCAGUCACAGCGGUAUUCGUGGCAACGAGAACGCCGACCUAUGUGCUAAAGAAGCUGUCCGCUUGGGUACUGAGAUCUACAACAAGACUUUCUCCAGAGAUAUCCGGGCUCUCGCUAAAUCACAUCUAUUCAAAACUUGGGAUGAGCUUUGGCAAACAUCUAAGCAAGCAAAAGGGAACUUCUGGACUACAUCAUUGGACUUCCCACCGAACAGUCUUCAGUAUAAUUUAAAUUAACCUACCGACUAUUUUUUUUAUGAUUUUUUUUUUUUUUUUUUCUUCGGUACCUUGACGUUGGCA